UACUUCCUUAUUUACAUUGUAAACUUAAGUAAAUUGAGUAAUAUAAAAAUAAAUUAAAGUAAAAGAACAAAGACAUUUACUUAAAUGUUGAAAAUGGAAAUAAAGUAAUCUAUACACGAGUUGAGCAAAGAGGCAAUUUCAAGCACCUACAAUGGUUUUUCCGGCGAGGGGAAGUGCAGCUACACCUCCUUGCGUCUUAAUGGAUCUGCCUCUGGGUGUAUUCAAUUGAGAUUUAAAUGGAUUGUUGUGAAGCUUAAAAGCACAAAUGGUAUUCAAUUAGGAUUAAGUAAUCAAUAAAAGUCGGGUCCAAUUGUGUAAUUAAAAUCUAAUUACAAAUGAUUUUUUUUUAAUAAAUAGAAUAGCCGUUCGGCUAUACUCCCCUUUUUAAAAUUAUUUUUUAUAAAUAGUAUAGCCGUGCGGCUAUACUCUUUACAUACUGUGAUUUUUUUAUUAUUUAUAAAUGUUUUUUCCUGAUUUUUGUUUAUCGAUAAGAGUGCUUUAGAGCAUUAUUUAUUUCUAUUAGGCCAUUAUCCGAGUCUCUAUUGUCC
rnacentral:lncRNA from 1 species